GAUGAACGCUGGCGGCGUGCCUAAUACAUGCAAGUCGAGCGAACAGACGAGGAGCUUGCUCCUCUGACGUUAGCGGCGGACGGGUGAGUAACACGUGGAUAACCUACCUAUAAGACUGGGAUAACUUCGGGAAACCGGAGCUAAUACCGGAUAAUAUAUUGAACCGCAUGGUUCAAUAGUGAAAGACGGUUUUGCUGUCACUUAUAGAUGGAUCCGCGCCGCAUUAGCUAGUUGGUAAGGUAACGGCUUACCAAGGCAACGAUGCGUAGCCGACCUGACAGGGUGAUCGGCCACACUAGAACUGAGACACGGUCCAGACUCCUACGGGAGGCAGCAGUAGGGAAUCUUCCGCAAUGGGCGGAAGCCUGACGGAACAACGGCGAGUGAGUGAUGACGGUCUUCGGAGCGUAAAACUCUGUUAUUAGGGAAGAACAAAUGUGUAAGUAACUAUGCACGGCUUGACGGUACCUAAUCAGAAAGCCACGGCUAACUACGUG
rnacentral:rRNA from 1 species